GUUACAGUAUGUUGGGAUAGACCCGAAACCAGGUGAUCUACCCAUGUUCAGGCUGAAAGUGCGGUAAAACGCACCGGAGGGCCGAACCCGUGUACGUUGAAAAGUGCUGGGAUGAAAUGUGGGUAGCGGUGAAAUUCCAAACGAACUUGGAGAUAGCUGGUUCUCUCCGAAAUAGCUUUAGGGCUAGCCUCGGACUUAGAAUCAUGGAGGUAGAGCACUGUUUGGGUGAGGGGCCCGUCAUGGGUUACUAAAUUCAGAUAAACUCCGAAUACCAUCGAUUUAUAUGUCCGGGAGUCAGACGAUGAGUGAUAAGAUCCACCGUCGAAAGGGGAACAGCCCAGACCACCAAUUAAGGUCCCUAAAUAUAUGCUGAGUGGAAAAGGAUGUGGAGUUGCAUAGACAACUAGGAUGUUGGCUCAGAAGCAGCCACCAUUUAAAGAGUGCGUAAUAGCUCACUAGUCGAGUGAUUCUGCGCCGAAAAUUUACCGGGGCUAAGCAUAUUACCGAGAUUGUGGACAUGACGUAGUCAUGUGAUAGGAGAGCGUUCUAAGGGCAACGAAGGUAGACCGUAAGGACUGCUGGAGCGCUUAGAAGUGAGAAUGCCGGUAUGAGUAGCGAAAGAAUAGUGAGAAUCUAUUCCACCGAUUGACUAAGGUUUCCUGGGGAAGGCUCGUCCUCCCAGGGUAAGUCGGGACCUAAGCCGAGGCCUAGAGGCGUAGGCGAUGGAUAACAGGUUGAGAUUCCUGUACUAGUUAAUUAUGUUUGAGCGAUGGAGGGACGUAGAAGGCUAACCUGAGCGCACUGCUGGAUAUGUGCGUUCAAGCAGUAAGUCAGGUUAUGAGUGAAAUGCUUGUAACCGGGUUGACAAGCUGUGAUGAGGACCGAAAUAAAGUAGGGAAGCAGGCCAUGUCACGCUACCGAGAAAAGCUUCUAGUGAGUAAUUAACUACCCGUACCGCAAACCGACACAGGUAGUCAAGGAGAGUAUCCUAAGGUGAGCGAGUGAACUCUCGUUAAGGAACUCGGCAAAAUGACCCCGUAACUUCGGGAGAAGGGGUGCUGCACGCAAGUGCAGCCGCAGUGAAAAGGCUCAGGCGACUGUUUAUCAAAAACACAGGUUUCUGCAAAAUCGUAAGAUGAAGUAUAGGGGCUGACGCCUGCCCGGUGCUGGAAGGUUAAGUGGAUGAGUUAGCUUCGGCGAAGCCCAGAAACGAAGCCCCAGUAAACGGCGGCCGUAACUAUAACGGUCCUAAGGUAGCGAAAUUCCUUGUCGGGUAAGUUCCGACCCGCACGAAAGGCGUAACGAUCUGAGCACUGUCUCAACGAGAGACUCGGUGAAAUUGAGAUACCUGUGAAGAAGCAGGUUACCCGCGACAGGACGGAAAGACCCCAUGGAGCUUUACUGUAAUUUGAUAUUGGGUGUUGACAUAGCUUGUACAGGAUAGGUAGGAGCCGUGGAAACCGGAACGCUAGUUUCGGUGGAGGCAUUGUUGGGAUACUACCCUCGCUGUGCUAACACUCUAACCCGCACCACUAAUCGUGGUGGGAGACAGUGUCUGAUUGGCAGUUUGACUGGGGCGGUCGCCUCCUAAACAGUAACGGAGGCGCCCAAAGGUUCCCUCAGAAUGGUUGGAAAUCAUUCUUCGAGUGUAAAGGCAAAAGGGAGCUUGACUGCGAGACAGACAGGUCGAGCAGGGACGAAAGUCGGGCUUAGUGAUCCGGUGGUACCGUAUGGAAGGGCCAUCGCUCAACGGAUAAAAGCUACCCUGGGGAUAACAGGCUUAUCUCCCCCAAGAGUUCACAUCGACGGGGAGGUUUGGCACCUCGAUGUCGGCUCAUCGCAUCCUGGGGCUGUAGUUGGUCCCAAGGGUUGGGCUGUUCGCCCAUUAAAGCGGUACGCGAGCUGGGUUCAGAACGUCGUGAGACAGUUCGGUCCCUAUCCGUCGCGGGCGUAGGAAAUUUGAGGGGAGCUGUCUCUAGUACGAGAGGACCGAGAUGGACAUACCGCUGGUGUACCAGUUGUCCCGCCAGGGGCAUCGCUGGGUAGCUAUGUAUGGAUGAGAUAAACGCUGAAAGCAUCUAAGUGUGAAACCGACCUCAAGAUGAAAUUUCCCAUUCCUUUAUGGAAGUAAGACCCCUAAGAGAUGAUUAGGUAGAUAGGCUAGAAGUGGAAGUGCAGUGAUGUAUGGAGCGGACUAGUACUAAUUGGUCGAGGACUUAACCAA
rnacentral:rRNA from 2 species